UACGGGGGGUGCGAGAGUUGUCCGGAAUCACUGGGCGUAAAGGGCGCGUAGGUGGCUUGAUAAGGGUGUGGUGAAAGUCCGGGGCUCAACCCCGGAUCUGCCAUGCCGACUGUCAAACUCGAGGGCUGUAGAGGCAGACGGAAUUCCGGGUGUAGCGGUGGAAUGCGUAGAGAUCCGGAGGAAGACCGGUGGCGAAGGCGGUCUGCUGGGCAGUUUCUGACACUGAGGCGCGACAGCGUGGGGAGCAAACAGG
rnacentral:rRNA from 1 species